GAUGAACGCUGGCGGCGUGCCUAAUACAUGCAAGUCGAGCGAACAGACGAGGAGCUUGCUCCUCUGACGUUAGCGGCGGACGGGUGAGUAACACGUGGAUAACCUACCUAUAAGACUGGGAUAACUUCGGGAAACCGGAGCUAAUACCGGAUAAUAUAUUGAACCGCAUGGUUCAAUAGUGAAAGACGGUUUUGCUGUCACUUAUAGAUGGAUCCGCGCCGCAUUAGCUAGUUGGUAAGGUAACGGCUUACCAAGGCAACGAUACGUAGCCGACCUGAGAGGGUGAUCGGCCACACUGGAACUGAGACACGGUCCAGACUCCUACGGGAGGCAGCAGUAGGGAAUCUUCCGCAAUGGGCGAAAGCCUGACGGAGCAAUGCCGCGUGAGUGAUGAAGGUCUUCGGAUCGUAAAACUCUGUUAUUAGGGAAGAACAAAUGUGUAAGUAACUAUGCACGUCUUGACGGUACCUAAUCAGAAAGCCACGGCUAACUACGUGCCAGCCGCCGCCGUAA
rnacentral:rRNA from 1 species